rnacentral:rRNA from 1 species
GCACUUCGGUUUUUGAUUGACGGUGCUUGCACCAGAUUGACGAGACAUUGAAGUGAGUGGCGAACGGGUGAGUAACACGUGGGUAACCUGCCCUAAAGUGGGGGAUAACAUUUGGAAACAGAUGCUAAUACCGCAUAACAACGAAAACCACAUGGUUUUCGCUUGAAAGAUGGUUUCGGCUAUCACUUUAGGAUGGACCCGCGGUGCAUUAGCUAGUUGGUAAGGUAACGGCUUACCAAGGCAAUGAUGCAUAGCCGAGCUGAGAGGCUGAUCGGCCACAUUGGGACUGAGACACGGCCCAGACUCCUACGGGAGGCAGCAGUAGGGAAUCUUCCACAAUGGGCGCAAGCCUGAUGGAGCAACGCCGCGUGAGUGAAGAAGGGUUUCGGCUCGUAAAACUCUGUUGUUAAAGAAGAACGUAUCUGAGAGUAACUGUUCAGAUAGUGACGGUAUUUAACCAGAAAGCCACGGCUAACUACGUGCCAGCAGCCGCGGUAAUACGUAGGUGGCAAGCGUUAUCCGGAUUUAUUGGGCGUAAAGGGAGUGCAGGCGGUUAUUUAAGUCUGAUGUGAAAGCCUUCGGCUUAACCGGAGAAGGGCAUCGGAAACUGGAUAACUUGAGUGCAGAAGAGGGUAGUGGAACUCCAUGUGUAGCGGUGGAAUGCGUAGAUAUAUGGAAGAACACCAGUGGCGA